rnacentral:lncRNA from 1 species
AGGUAUGGAGACACACAAGAAGAGAGAAACUAAGAGACUUCACGGAAAAAUUGAAUGGACGAGUACAGCAGUCUUCUGAGUCAUUGCCUAUAACAGAUCACAUGGAAGCAUCAGAAUAAUCCUUAGGGCAGGGAAGUCCAAUCGAUUGACCCAGACUCAGUUUUGAGUAUGCAGCUGCUGGCAGGUAGAAAUUGAGCACCAUGACAAUUAAAACAAAAAUAUUACUUAGCUGUUGCUAAAAGAAGAAAAAAAGAAAGAAAAAAAUUCCAGCCACUCCCCUAGAACAUCUCACAAAAUGAGCCAUUCCAAAAAACUAAAGCUAAGGACAAUAUGGAUAAGUUUCUGUAAAAUCUAAAUUGAGAAGUUAGACAUAUCCAACAGGACUUGCAGGUUCCUCAUCCCAGUUUAGAAAGAUAUCAGCCAAAGGAGGGCAGUGGGACAAAAGAAAUGCGAAAGAGGGGCAACAGAGAGAGUGAGAGAUCUAAACUCUGAGGAGACUUAGAAGCCAUCUUAUAGAUGCUUGAAAACAGC